CCCAGCAGCAGCCUGGCUGCCAGUACAUCACUGCAAUUGCUGUUUACAAGGGAUAAGUGGUUCAGGCAGUCAAAGGGGAAAUGCAGUUGAAAGACAGCAGGCAGAGAAGGAACGGCUUGUCAUUUCUGCAUUGUGUGAUGUGAUGGCAGAGAAAGUUAACCCCACGACAGAUCAGUGUUGUACCAUAGCAUGGGAAAAGGCUUGUUGAAGAGCACAGUCCUGACAACACAAUGCAAAAAGGGUUCCUGAGCUACUGGAAGGAAGCCUCCUCCCGAAUCCGAUACCUAAUCCGAGUGUCAGAAGCAGAGAGGCAGAAUGCCAAUGAUCCGGGUAAAAAUGUAAAAAGCAGCAGCAACUCUUGCCUGUGGCAUUGUAAAAGUCAAACCACUGUAGCAGACCCUACCACCUAAUGAGCAGGAAGAAGGGGAGCUCUCACAUCCGAGAUGCAGGUGUCCUUAAAAGAUUUGGCAUCAAGGCUGCAGCUUGAAGGCAAGAAUUCACUCUCGUCCCCCCUCAAGCAACUGGAUGAAGCCAAGCUUUGAAUGUCAGAGCCUGUCAUUGCAGGCACAGCACAAAUGCCCCGCAGUAAUGCCACCAUCAAGGCAGCACUCAGCUGUCAGAGCACCAGCAGCACAAUUCCUAAGAAAACCAGCAAAUGCGACAGUGCUUGAAUACGAAUCUGAAGACAAAGCAGAAACUGCAAUCAAUUGAGAACGCUCAAGUCAAGACAGAGAAAAGUAACAGUUUGCAGAGGACUUUUCAGUGCUGUGGCAGAAACUCACUGUUGGGUGCCACGAAAGCAAAGGGCCCUGCCUGGGCUGCAGAAUGCCUGGCGAGGCUGGACUGUGAAACAGCCGCUCAGUCAGCAGCAGCAUGGCCAGCGCUGCUCUGUGAUCAGUUCUGCCCAGACAGCCUCUCAGACUCAGGCUUCUUACACACUUCAGAACAAGAUUUCUCUCAGUUAACGCUGACUAUAUAAAGGGUAAAUAUAAGGUGUAUAUACAAGGUAUCAAAGUUAUAUAAAGGGUAAGA